GACUUGGGGCAGAGUUGUACAAAAGGAUGGAAAAGAAAAUCAGCAUAGUUUUCAUGAUGUGCAGACAGACCUCUGUGAUGUGUUCUAGCUUGUUUUAGGAAGCAGGGGGAAGUUUUCAAGUGAAGUACAGACAUACUGUACUAAAACAUGCAUUUACUUCAUUUAGUUGUGUGUAGUUUCUUCAGGUCUUCAGGAUUAAUUAUAUGUUUUGGUGCAGUAGAAUAGGUAUUAGGGAUAAUUUAUGCUUACACUACUUUUGGUAUAGCUUUGCUUCUGCAGUCAGUAAUUUGGGUUCCUUGCAGACCAUUUAUUAACUUAAUUUGUUAUAAAUGAUUUACACAGAAAUAAUGAGGUUUCAUACAUUUUACCAGGAGUACAUUUGAACUGUCACUUUCAGCAAAACACUUUCAUGGCCAGUGGUAUCCUGGUAUUUUGUUACGUUCUGUUGCUCCUGGGAUUAAAUGUUCUCAUAAACCUACACAACCUGUUCUGCACAGCGUCUUAGGUUGUUAUCAUUCAUUGUGCUAUACUGGCAUGUUUGUUUCUUUAUGUUCCAGCCUGCAGUACAUUAACCAGUUGAGAAUUUCAUCAUGUUUCAAAUAAAAAAAAAUUUCAUCCUGAAAAGAAGAAAAGAAGUUAGCCUUAUUUCAUACUGUCCAGACCCUCAACGGCCUUGUUAAAGUCAGGUGCACUGGUUUUGUUGAAUAAUGGUGAAUAAGAAGCAGGAUGACAAGUUUUUCCUGACACAAAACUGACUCCCUCCAGAUAUUCUCUUUCAUCAGGACUCACCUUCGAGUUCACACUUACCAUGUGAAGAGAGAUCACGUCCAUAUUGCCAGCUUGGUACCACGCGAGUCUGUAGUCUCCUUGUGUCAGAGCCGACACACAGCGUCUGACACACGGAGAUACAUAGAUGCACAGAGAAACACACAUGUGGUGAUUCAUGAACUGGAAAUCUGGCUCAAACCCCACAAACCAGCCUCACGAGGUGGAGUAUAUAAUCCAUGGGGGAAGAAUUCGUUUAUUGAGGAGCUGCAGGGUGGAGCCUACUGUGAAGAAUAUAUGUCUAAAUAAGAAAGCUUACACUGUAGACUGUGGCUGUGAAAAGUUCCUCCACUCUGGGGCAAAUUCAUGACAGUCAAGCACUGACUGAAGGAGAAGAGGGUUCUGUCGACGAGCUGAUGAGGCGGGCCUGCUUGAGGGCUGAUUGAAGACAGCUGGAGAGACUCAGGUCUCUGCCAGGGAGGCAGGUAUGACAUAAAGCCACUGGUGAAGCUGGUUUGAGGGGUUUGGGCCAGAUUUCCAGAGUGACAACCCGUCUCAUCUGGGACCAAGUUGGUGAUACAGACGUGUUCUCUCUCUUCACCUGGUGAACGUGAACGCAAAG